UUUUUCGGUAUCCUGACCGUGCAAAGGUAGCAUAUAAUAUACCCUUUAAUUGUGGGAUGGUAUGAAAGGACAAACGAAAGUUAAACUGUUUCCUAGAUAUAUAUAAAAACUAUUCCUCAGGUGAAGAAACCUGAAUACUAUUAAAAGACAAGAAGACCCUGUAGAGCUUUACCUAAACAACCAUAGAGAAAAAGCCAUAGUAUUUUUCUCUAUGCCACACAUAUGGUUUAACUGGGGCGGUUAGAGAACAAUAAACUUCUACCUAAAAAAUAAGGUAAACACACCAAUUAAAUAAAUAAAUUCAAAUUUAAAGAAAUAAGCUACCUCAGGGAUAACAGACUAAUCCUUCCUGAGAGUACCCAUUGAAGGAAGGGGUUGGCACCUCGAUGUUGGCUUAGGAAA
rnacentral:rRNA from 1 species